rnacentral:rRNA from 1 species
CAAAGGAAUUGACGGGGAGCACCACAACGGGUGGAGCUUGCGGUUUAAUUGGAUUCAACGCCGGAAAUCUUACCGGGACCGACAGCAAUAUGAAGGCCAGGCUGAAGACUUUGCCGGAUUAGCUGAGAGGUGGUGCAUGGCCGUCGUCAGUUCGUACUGUGAAGCAUCCUGUUAAGUCAGGCAACGAGCGAGACCCACGCCCACAGUUGCCAGCGUACUCUCUGGAGUGACGGGUACACUGUGGGACCGCCGCUGCUAAAGCGGAGGAAGGAAUGGGCAACGGUAGGUCAGUAUGCCCCGAAUAUCCCGGGCUACACGCGAGCUACAAUGGUUGGUACAAUGGGUAUCUACCCCGAAAGGGGACGGGAAUCUCCUAAAACCAAUCUUAGUUCGGAUUGAGGGCUGCAACUCGCCCUCAUGAAGCUGGAAUCCGUAGUAAUCGCGUUUCAACAGAACGCGGUGAAUACGUCCCUGCUCCUU